GAUCAUGGCUCAGAUUGAACGCUGGCGGCAUGCCUUACACAUGCAAGUCGAACGGCAGCAUGGAGAGCUUGCUCUCUGAUGGCGAGUGGCGAACGGGUGAGUAAUACAUCGGAACGUGGUCCGUUUGUGGGGGACAACCGUCCGAAAGGAUGGCUAAUACCGCGAUAAGACCCGUGAGGGUGAAAGCCGGGGACCGCAAGGCCCGGCGCAGACGGAGCGGCCGAUGAUUGAUUAG
rnacentral:rRNA from 1 species